rnacentral:lncRNA from 1 species
GCAGAUCCUCCUAGAGGUUGCGAAGGACAAAGCUAGCUCUGCAGCACCAUCUGCAGGCAUCCAGGAGAGCCGCCCUGGCUCCAGCAUCCUCCCAUAUGAUCGCUCCAGAGUGAAAUUUUUGCCCCUGGAACAAGGCCCCUUCUCGGAUCUCAACCAGACCUGGCUCCUCCCGGGCUGCAAUUCAUCCAGGGAUUAUCUGGCUGUGCAAGGACCCGACAAGGUGACCAUGGAGGAAUUCUGGCGCUUGGUGUGGGACCAUGGUGUCCACACCAUAGUCACCCUGCUGCCAUGCCAGAAGGGCCAGGUAAGCCAAGGGGGGUGGGGGCUCCUUG